rfam:Loxodonta africana unplaced genomic scaffold scaffold_53, whole genome shotgun sequence.
GCCUUGGUGGUUCAGUGGUACAUUUUUUGCCUUCCAUGCGGGAGAUCUGGGUUUGAUUCCCGGCCAAGGCA